UACGAAGGGGGCUAGCGUUGCUCGGAAUCACUGGGCGUAAAGGGUGCGUAGGCGGGUCUUUAAGUCAGGGGUGAAAUCCUGGAGCUCAACUCCAGAACUGCCUUUGAUACUGGAGAAUCUUGAGUUCGGGAGAGGUGAGUGGAACUGCGAGUGUAGAGGUGAAAUUCGUAGAUAUUCGCAAGAACACCAGUGGCGAAGGCGGCUCACUGGCCCGAUACUGACGCUGAGGCACGAAAGCGUGGGGAGCAAACAGGG
rnacentral:rRNA from 1 species